AAAAAUGCACUUUGAAAGAGUAUCUUUAACAUAUAACUUCUUACAAGUCAGUAUAAAAAAACAUAUACUUGGGAAAAUCCAGCAAGUGACAUGAAUUGACAUUUUAUAAAAUGAGAAAAACAAACAUUAAAAAAUGUUCACUGUGCUUUCCAUCAGAAACACAAUAUAUAACACUGUAAUGAGGUACAAUUAUAUUUGUCUAUACAAUUAACAAACAUUUAAAGAAUAAAGCACCCAUUUUGUCAAGAGUUGGGGUAGACAAACAUAUUAUUAGUGGGAAUCCAGAUUGGCACAUCUUUUCCAGGGGACAAUUAGGUGAUAAGAAUUUAAAAUUAUAAAAAUGUUCUUAAGACUUUAGUUAGAGGAGUUCCCAUUGUGGCUCAGCAGUUAACGAACCCAACUAGUAUCCAUGAGGACACGGGUUCAAUCCCUGGCCUCGCUCAGUGGGUUAAGGAUCUGGUAUUGCCGUGAGCUGUGGUGUAGGUCACAGACUUGGCUUGGAUCCCAUGUUGCUGAUUUGACCCCCUAGCCAGGGAAACUCCAUGUGCCAUAGGUGCAAACCUAAAAAGAAAAAUUAAAUUAAAUUUAAAAAAAGAUUUUAGUUAGCAAUGUCUGCAAGGGAGGUGGCUAAGUGACAUCCAUGCUGCCCUGUUGUUCCUCUUCCUCUUCACCCAAGCUAAUUCAGGCUCCCAUCAUCUCUCACCUGUGUUUAGAUAGCCACCUAACUAGUCUAGUUUCCUACAUAAUUUCCUUUUUAAAAUUUUUUUAAUUUCCUCUUUUUAAAUAUCAUCUUCUACUUUUCACUGUCACUGACCCCAACUAUGAACUGUCCAUGUUCUUCCUUUUGUAAGGACCUCCCAUGUCCCCAUCACCUACUGGAUUAAGGUCCAUCUUCUUAAUAUGACUUGCAAAGUUCUCCAUGUUCUAACCCCUGUCAAAUUCGCUAGGCACAGCUUUUUCCCCACUGCUUUCCAUCCAUGUGUAAUACUCAUCUUCUUAUAAUUUUUGCAUAUAUAUUACCUCUGUUCAUUAUAUUCUUUCAAUUUUAAAUUCAUGCCUGUCCUCCCAUCCCCCCACCACUCACUCUUUUUGCAGUGAAAGAUGUACCUUCUCUGAGAAAGCUUUCUAUGAUUUUCUGGGCUUGGUUAGGUACCCCUCCAUUUGCUCCCAUAAAACACUGUUAUUAUCUGCUUACUCAACAUUAUAUUUGUAAGAUUCAUUAAUGUCAUAAGCAGUUAUAGAUUGUUCACUCUCAUUUCUGUAUGCAAUUAUAAGAAUAUUCCACAAUUGUUGUUGAAUAAUUUCUCUAGAUUUUGGUUAAGAUGAGUAGUGCUUCUGUUAGCAUUCUUGUGCAUGUAUUUUGGGGAACAUGUGUACUCAUUUCCGUCAAGUAUAAAUCUAGGACUGGAACUGCUCAGUCGUGGGAAGAGGUAGUCAAAAUACUAAAAAUAGCCCCCCAGAAUCCAUGCCCUAAUGAUAGGGAGAUUUUCCAGGUGGGCUUUAUAAUGGGGAGAUAUCCAGGUGUGCCUAAUAUAAUCACACCACCUUUAAAAUCGAGUUUUCUCAGCUGGGAGCAGAAGAGGUUGUCGGAUCUCAAGUAUGGGGGAGGCUUGCUGCCACAGAGGUCCACCUGCAAGGGCUGGAAAGUGGCCUCAAGGAGCUGAGGGUGGCCCUCAGUUGAGAGCCAGCAAGGAAAUGGCCUCAGUCCUACAACCUCAAGGACCUGAAUUUUGUCCACAGUGAGCUAGGAUGUGGAUUUCUCCCCAACGCCUCUAGAUGAGAAAUCAAUCCUCCCAGUGCCUUGAUUUCAGCCUUGUGAUAACGUGAGCAGUUAACUCAGCCACACGUGUUGGACUUCUGAUCUACAGAACCGUGAGCUAAUAAUGAUUUUGUUUUAAGUUUGUGGUAAUUUUGUAUACAGCAAUAGAAUACUAAUACAGUACAGUUUGCAUGUAUUCGUUUUAGUAGAUGCUGCCAAAAGCUGUGUAUGAGAGUUUCAGUUGCUCUGUAAAAUCGACACAUACUGUUGUUAGCAUCUAGAAUACAGAUGCAUCUGUAUUCAACAGAAUACAAAGCAUCUAGUAAAAAUUUGUGUGAUUAAAAGCCUAAAUGUUAAUCAUUUGUGAAAUAAAAAGUGAAAUACAGCAUUCAGUUUCUCAUGUAAAACAAGGAAAAUUCUAUAAAUUAUAACACUCAUUUCUUAAAAGCUAUAAAAAAAAGUUCAUAUCCUUGAUCAAGAAAUUGUAUGUCCAAAGAAUUAUCAUGAAUGUCUGUGAAGAUUUAGUUGCAAUAAUGUAUGUGGUGGUAUUGUUUAUAAGAGUGAAGAUUUGAAAAAUCUCAAUAUUUAGUUCAAACGGAUCCUUUAAAUAACAAUGAGAUACGGAUGCAUCCAUUACAAAUGAUAUAGAACAGCUUUUCACCAAGGAUAUUCUGUAGAACAUUAAUUUUCCAAAUGUAACAUUAUUGAAGGAUCCCAUGCAUGAUUAAAUAAGUUAAAUAAGGUGGAGCAGUUCUCUCAAUUGGAGCUCUUUGUAAGCCUUUGCUCUCUAAUCUGAUAGGCAUUGUUAACAGCUGAGGCUCUGACAGUGGAGAAUUGCAGGAACCUAUUUGAUUAUCGUCAGUUUGCUUCGUUUUUGGAGGGACAUUUUGCAAAUGUAUGGCACAAAAAAAAAACUGGCAUGAAUAGCAUAGUCCCACUUUAAAACACAUAGAAGACAGCUAGAAGAAUUUAAAGGAUAUUACACAAAAAAUGCUAAAUGUAAUUAUCUUGAUGGACAAUUUUUAUAUUCCUUAUCUAUACUUUGCUAAAGUUUCUAUAAAGUGAAUAUAGAUUACAUUCGGAAAAAGGGGGAAAAAGGAAAUGCCAGAAGUCAAUCUAAAUAACAUCUCUCUGAAUAGCAAUGUUAAAGCCCUAGCUCUUGUACUGGGGUUAACUUGCUACAUGACCUGGGGGGUGGGGGGACACACACCCCCAGUCGGUUUCGGUUGAUUUGGGCAGGCCUCUAAGGACGCUGAGCUAGCAAAGCAGUGAAUUCUCGCGUUUUCUCACCUGUGCUCUAAUUUAGCUGUUCACUCUGACAUCUAAGCUCUUGUUUCUUGAGUUUCAUCUCUUCCCAGUGCAGCUUCUGCUCCUCCCUCUUCACUAUCAACUCAGUUCUUCCCAGGUCAUGUUACCACCGUGAAGCUUUUCUGCAAAGAUGAACCCAUGUUCAAAUCCUAGCUGGGAACCUGUGGAGGCAGGACACUUCCGUUUUCUGAGUCUCACUUUCCUUGACUAUGAAAAGUGUGCAUACAUAUGUAAUACCCCCUAGAAUUGUUAGGAAGAUUUAAGCACAGUGCUAGGUUUGCAAGAAACAUUUGUUCUUUCCAUCUCUCACCCCUAGAGUUACCAUGGCCUUCAGUUAAUGCUAGGAGUUACCACCCUGUUUCUCCCUUGUGGGUGGGUCCUGUUUUCUUACCACAGCCUUUGCUUAUUGAAAGAGCAUCCUUAUUGGAUGGGCAGAUGGUGUUGGUGUUGGCAAACAGCGACCCUUGGUCAAAUCCGAUCCACAACCCAUUUUAUAGAGCCAGCAAGCUAAGAAUGGCUGCUACAGUUUUACAUGGUUGAAGAAAUCAAGAAGAAUUUGAUAUCAGACACAUGAAAAUUAUAUAAAAUUCAAAAUUUCAGUGUUUGUGAAUAAAUUUUUCUUGAUACACAACCACUCAUUUAUUUACAUGUUGUCUCUGGUUGCUGUCACAACCUGUCAUCAUUGGGUAUUGGUGACAGAUACUGUGCAGCCUACAAAGCCACAUUUAUGAUCUGCCUCUUUCCAGAAAAUGUCUGUCACAUCCAUUUUAGCCUAUUUCUUAUCUAAGUAUUUCUUGAAGAUAAGCUUUAAGUAUGAGAUGUGUUGCUUAUUGGAUUGCAUUCUUAUUUU
rnacentral:lncRNA from 1 species